CCUACGGGAGGCAGCAGUGGGGAAUAUUGCACAAUGGGCGAAACCCUGAUGCAGCGACGCCGCGUGAGUGAAGAAGUACUUCGGUAUGUUAAGCUCUAUCAGCAGGGAAGAAAAUGACGGUACCUGACUCAGAAGCCCCGGCUAACUACGUGCCAGCAGCCGCGGUAAGACGUAGGGAGCAAGCGUUAUCCGGAUUUACUGGGUGUAAAGGGAGCGGAGACGGGGCGGCAAGUCUGUAGUGAAAGGCUGGGGCUCAACCGCUGAACUGCUUUGGAAACUGGCAUGCUAGAGUUCAGGUGAGGUAAGUGGAAUUCGUAGUGUAGCGGUGAAAUGCGUAGAUAUUAGGAAGAACACCAGUUGCGAAGGCGGCUUACUGGACAGUAACUGACGUUGAGGCUCGAAAGCGUGGGGAGCAAACAGGAUUAGACACCCUGGUAGUC
rnacentral:rRNA from 1 species